rnacentral:rRNA from 1 species
UAGUAUUAGUUAUGUUCUUGAAACUUAAAAAAUUUGGCGGUAUUUUAGUCUAUUUAGAGGAACCUGUGAUAUAAUUGAUAGUCCACAUUGUACCUUACUUAAUUUUGUGUUUCAGUUUGUAUACCGCCGUUAUUAAAAAUUUUAUGAGAACAUUAAUUUUUAAAAUUUUUUAUUAAAAAUAAAGUCAGGUCAAGGUGCAGCUUAUAAUUAAGAAUUUAUGGGUUACAAUAAAUUUAUUUAUAUGAAUUUUAAUAUGAAAUUAUUUUAUGAAAGUGGAUUUAAAAGUAAAUUAUUAUAGAUUAAAUAAUUGAUUAUAGCUCUAAAAUAUGUACAUAUCGCCCGUCGCUCUUGUUUAUAAAAUAAGAUAAGUCGUAACAAAGUAGAUGUACUGGAAAGUGUAUCUGGAAUGACAAUUUAAAGCUUAUAUAGUAAAGUAUUUCAUUUACACUGAAAAGAUUAUUGUGCGAAUCAAUAUAAAUUGAUAUAUUUUAAUUA